UAGCUCAGAGAGUAAAGCAUCUGCCUGCAAUGCAGGAGACCUGGGUUCGAUCCCUG
rnacentral:tRNA from 1 species